GCCCUCGGUGGCUCAGAUGGAGAUAGCGUCUGCCCUGUAAGCAGGAGAUCCUGGGUUCGACUCCCAGCCGGGGCA
rnacentral:tRNA from 1 species